CGCAGGGCAAGGCAGACAGGAAGUUGUGCCCACUCCCCCCAGCCUAGGGACAGUCAGAGCAGGAGACUGGAAGGGAACAGACACCUGCUGCCUCUGUGGCUCCCGGCAGAUGCCCCCUCAGGUGGUAGAAGGGCAGCCCAACAAGCUGGGGGCCCAGAGAUGCCAGAAGGGGCCGGAUGUGGCAGCCUCCCGGCCCUGAGAGGCUCAGCCUUGCCGGAGGUCACUCACUCUGUGUGAGCAAGCACACACUCUUCUGGAAGAUGGGAAGGUUUCAUCGAGCCCAGCUGAUACUUUGGACAUGAAGAAAGAGGAGAGAAGAAAGAAGACGGCGCGGGCCGCACCUGCGGGAUAAGCCUCCUUCCCCAGAGCUGCCCACAGCCCCGCCUCACCUGCCACAGAGGACCCGGAACACGGGCAAGAGGAGGGGCAGGCUUUCCCCACUGCGAGUCCACGGGCCGCUUCCUCCGAGAUCCCCGGCUAACGUCCCCUCACACGAGGCAAGGCCCAUGAUUUCUGUCUGUCUUUCAUUCUGUGGUAAGCCGCAAACACUAACGACAAGUGGGGAAACUGAGUCCAGAGAGGGGCAGGGAUGCACUCCUGGCCACAGACUUUGUGAAUACAAGUGAGGACAGAUCUCAGGUAUGGCCACACCCAACCAGCGUCCCUAUGGCGAUGACCCGCCUACAUACGGGUCCCCCCUGCCCAGCACUCCGAGUUCCCUGGGAGCAGCGAGCCAGUCUUACUCAUCUUUGCAUUCUUGGUAUCUGGCAUACAGUGAUUUCUCAAUAAAUGUCUGGAAAAGAAAGGGGGCAAAGGCAGGGAAAGUGGGAUGGAUAGAGAGGGGGCAGAGAGAGAAGGGGGCAGGAAGGGGGGUGAGGGGGGUGCGGGAGGGCGAGCAGGUGCCAGGAGACAGUGGCCCCCGAAAGCCCCUGGAAUCAGACCAGAGCGCAGAGCCCUCUGCUGGCCUAGGUCUAAAUGGGCGUCGUGGAAACAGGCUGCUGUCCCCAGUGUCCAUGCAGGACAUAAAUGAGGACACUUUUUAAGGUGCCCGCCUUUCAGCUACCAAGGUGACCAGGCAGUUCCUGGGCCGCCAGACCCUGCUGCCCCUCGUCCUCCCGCCCUUCUUGCCUUCCCACAUCACCGGUGAGCACAGCCAGCUGCCUCUUCUCCUUGCGGUGCUCCACGGCCUCCUUGCGCCUGUCCUGGACGAUGGGGAUGGAUUAGGAGAAUGGGGACCUGCAACAUCAGCUGGGGAGACCCCUCCCUGGAACCCCAACCUGAGACAGGGCGGGCUCUAGGGGGUGCUUCUCGAGUGAGAAGCUGGUGCCAGAAGGAACCUGAGGAAGAAGCCAAACGUGCCUCCAUUUAGAUCCAGCCCACGCCCAAGCCCUGCCUCCCUGGGGGCUGGGAGGGAUGCAGGGAGGAGCGGCUGCCAUGGGAAGGGGCUCCUGAACAGGUCUGGUCCCUGCACCACUCAGGGAAACCACACGAGACGGGGACUUAACAAGCCAGGCUUCCUCCGGGAUUUCCCUGCGGUGAAGGGAGAGGGAGCCUUCUGUCCAGACUGGACCCUGGUGGGGCCAGCGUCCUCUUUCCUGGAAAGUACCAGGUCCCCUGCCCCUUCCUAUAUGGUCCAUUGUCAGGCACUCGCUCCACACGUGUUUGUGGAGACCUACUAUGUGCAGGGCCUGCUGGCUCUGGGGGCAAACUCUUCUAGAUUCC